rnacentral:rRNA from 1 species
AUUGAACGCUGGCGGCAGGCCUAACACAUGCAAGUCGAACGAGUGGCGGAUGGGUGUGCAAUGUCCGGGAAACUGUCCGAUGGAGGGGGAUAACCACUGGAAACGGUAGCUAAUACCCCAUACCAUCAGAUGUGCCCAGAUGGGAUUAGCUUGUUGGUGGGGUAACGGCUCACCAAGGCGACGAUCCCCAGCUGGUCUGAGAGGAUGACCAGCCACACUGGACCUGAGCCACGGUCGAGACGCCUACGGGAGGCAGCAGUGGGGAAUAUUGCACAAUGGGCUCAACCCUGAUGCAGCCAUGCCGGGGGUAUGAAGAAGGCCUUCGGGUUGUAAAGUACUUUCAGCGGGGAGGCGUUACCCGCAGAAGAAGCACCGGCUAACUCCGUGCCAGCAGCCGCGGUAAUUC